rnacentral:tRNA from 1 species
UAGAUAGAUGCUCGCUGGUUUGGGCGCUUAGCUGUUAACUAAGAAUUUGUAGGAUCAAGGCCUUCCUAUCUAG